rnacentral:rRNA from 1 species
UACGAAGGGGGCUAGCGUUGCUCGGAAUCACUGGGCGUAAAGCGCACGUAGGCGGAUUGCUAAGUCAGGGGUGAAAUCCUGGAGCUCAACUCCAGAACUGCCCUUGAUACUGGCGGUCUCGAGUCCGGGAGAGGUGAGUGGAACUGCGAGUGUAGAGGUGAAAUUCGUAGAUAUUCGCAAGAACACCUGUGGCGAAGGCGGCCGACUGGGCCGACCCUGACGCUGAGGCGCGAAGGCGUGGGGAGCGAACGGGAGUUAG